UUAUAGUUGGCUUUAAUAAUUUUUUGCAUGUAACUUUUUUGAAAAUUAUUGUUUUCUUAAUGAUUAGAUUUUUAUUUUCAGUAAUUGAUUUUAAUUUACAUUAAUUUUUUAAUUUGAUAAAUUUUUAUUAAAACAGGAAAAUGUUAUGCCAGCAUUCGCGGUUAUAUUUCAUGUUUAAGUCAAUUUUUUUUUGGAUUUACAGUUUAUUUAAUAAAAGUUUUUUAAUUUAGGUGAAAUUUAUUAAUUUUAUAUAUAUAUAUUUAUUUGUUUAAUCUAUUUAUUAGACCAGGAUUAGAUACCCUGUUAUUUUAGUUAAUUAAAAAUAUAUUCAGUUAGUAAUUUUUUUAUAAAAUUUAAAAGAUCUGGCGGUUUUUAAAUCUUUUUAGAGGAACCUGUAAUUUAAAUGAUAGUCCACGAUUAAUUUUACCUUAAAUUUAUUGUUUUGUAUAUCUCUGUCGUUGAGUGUAAUGAAAAUUUAUUUUCUUUUUAUAUGUAAAUAUUUAUGUUAGGUCAAGGUGCAAUUAUAUUUAGGUUAUUAUGGGUUACAAUAAUAUUUUUUUUUCGAUAAUUUAAUUUAUAUUAAGUUUAAAUUUGGAUUUAAAAGUAAUUUAUUUUAUUAAAAUUUUUGAAUUAAGCUCUUAUUAAUGUACAUAUCGCCCGUCAUUCCCAUAAAUUGGGACAAGUCGUAACAAAGUAGAUGUACUGGAAAGUGUAUCUAGAA
rnacentral:ncRNA from 1 species